GGUUUCAUUUCAUUGAUAGAGGGAAACACAGCUAGCAAAGGAGGCUAAAAGUGGAGUAGCCAACUAAAAAAUCACAACCACACCACACUGCCGCUCACAAAAAAGAAGGCGAUCUGAACCAACUACUACUAACCCAUCGCCAAGAUCGAACUGCUACGGCCGCAACCAACUAAAGAACCAGCUAAAUUCUCGGCUACUUUGUACAGUUUGCUCGUCGGAUCGGAAUGAGAUGUUUGCCGCCCGGCCACCGGCGGUCACCGGAGGACGUCCGACCGCAGGUGCGAGAGCUCCUUCCUGAGCUUGUGCGAGAAGAGCCUGCACGCGUCCAUGCUCAGGUCCACGGCCGCCGCCAGGGCCACGAACGCCGCCGCGUCCUCCGCGCACCCGACGUGCGCCACCCCGACCUCCACCGUGGGCUUGCUGCACCGACCCUCGCCUUCCACCGAGGCUGACAUGACAAAGCCGCGGUAGUUCCCCAGAGGCCACUGGCUGAAGUCGCCGCUGCCACGCGGGCUGCAGCCCGGGGUGCUCCCCCGGCUCAGCGGCUGCGCGGCGGUCAGGUCGAGCGCGAACUUGCCGCCCUUGGACGCGGCGAUGGUGGAGUCCGCGAUGGGGACGGCGUGGUCCACGCCGGGGACGAGGAGGUCGAAGCGGUAGCCGAGGCUGUCGGACGACCCAGCCCCGCCGCGCUCCCGCCAGCACUCGAGGCGGCCCCACGGCUCCCACGCGCCGUCGCCCGCGGGCCGGAGGAUGAGCCACGCGCCCGGGUUGGAGCGGCUCACGCGGUCCGUCCCCGGCGAGGCCACGAACGGGGUCACCAUGGAGGCGAGCGCGACGGGGGAGCCCGAGAGGUCGUGCACCGUGACGGACCACCCCUUGCGCUCCUUCCCGGCCGCCUCCCGCUCCGUCUGCGCGACGGACCUCCGCAGGUCGCUGUUGGUGCGGCAGCCGAACUUGCAGGUGAACAUGGGCUGCUUCAUGCUGCCCCGGACCUGCAUCACCUGCGGGCUGCACUCCGGCUCGCCGUCGAACUCGAACAUGAACCGCGGGUCGGGCUCGGCGCGGACAGUGAGGCUGAGCUCCGCGGCCGCGGACCCGCCGCCCUUGCCGCCAGCCCCGCGCCUCCCGACGGAAAUCCAGCCGCUGUGCAGCACCGCGGGCUUGGCCUCGGCGCCCUUGAGAUCCAGCGAGAUGGUGGCCUUCCCGAGCAGCCGCCCGGAGCUGACGCCACAUGUAGUCCCCUUGCGGCCGGCGUAGACGGACACCUUGAGCGUGGCGGCCCCGCGGGAGGGGGAGAAGAGCGAGGGCUUGCGGGCGAACCACUCCAAAUCGGCCUUGGAGAGGUGGAAGGCCGCGGCGAGGGCGCCGGACGGGGGCUGCUCGGCGGCGGCGUCGGAGAGCACGAGCGGGGCGGCGGCGGUCUGGCAGGCCAUCUUGCCGAGGCGGAUCUUGAUGUAGCAGGGCGAGGUGGAGGGGUGGACGCCGGCGCCGGCGCCGGCGGCGGGCGGGGCCACCGGCAUUCUGAGGGCGAGGUUGCCGACCAGCACCCGCACGAACGGGCACGGGUCCAUGGCGCCGAUCGGCCAGGCAGGGUUGGAUCCGCGGCGAGCGGAGGAGGCGAGGGCGUGGGUUUGGCUCGGCUUGGAGACCCGGGAGAUAAGGUGGGAAGGAGGGAGAGAGAUUGGCGGGUGUAUAUGGGGCGGGGGGC
rnacentral:lncRNA from 1 species